CUCUUCGGGGAUGAUUAAACCGGCGCACGGGUGAGUAACACGUGAGUGACCUGCCUUUUAGACUGGAACAACUUACCGAAAGGUGAGCUAAUGCCGGAUGAGUUAUAUAAGUGCAUGUUUAUAUAGGAAAAGUUGGGGAGACCUGACGCUGAAAGAUGGACUCGCGUCCCAUUAGCUAGUUGGUAGGGUAAUGGCCUACCAAGGCGACGAUGGGUAGCCGGCCUGAGAGGGUGGCCGGCCACACUGGGACUGAGACACGGCCCAGACUCCUACGGGAGGCAGCAGUGGGGAAUUUUGCGCAAUGCUCGUAAGAGUGACGCAGCGACGCCGCGUGAAUGACGAAGGCCUUCGGGUCGUAAAGUUCUUUCGACAGGGAAGAAAAUGCCUAUAAGUAACUGUGUAUGUAUUGACGGUACCUGUAUAAGCAGCCCCGGCUAACUCCGUGCCAGCAGCCGCGGUAAUACGGAGGGGGCGAGCGUUGUUCGGAGUGACCGGGCGUAAAGAGCACGUAGGCGGUGUUGUAAGUCAUUAGUCAAAGACUAGAGCUCAACUUUAGUAAGGCUAGUGAUACUAUAAUACUAGAGUAUCAGAGAGGAUUGCAGAAUUCCUGGUGUAGCGGUGAAAUGCGUAGAUAUCAGGAGGAAUACCGUUAGCGAAGGCGGCAAUCUGGCUGGAAACUGACGCUGAGGUGCGAAAGCGUGGGUAGCAAACAGGAUUAGAUACCCUGGUAGUCCACGCUGUAAACGAUGGAUGCUAGGUGUUGGGCUUUUAAGUUCAGUGCCGCA
rnacentral:rRNA from 1 species